CGGCGCUCUGGCUCCUCAGCCGCCUGCGAGCCCCGCGCCCAGCACCUCCGCUCGGGCGGCCCGGGAGCCCUGGUGAGUGGGCGCGGCCCUGACACGCGCCCUUUCCCUUCUGCCCUCAGCCGGGGACGCGGCCUUCCCCCAGCCCUGGUACCCCUUGGUCGGGAGGAGACGCGCUGGGGCGCUGCAGGCAGGCUUAGUGCUGCCUUCUCAGCUUCUCCUGCGCAGCUCCCGCCUGCCCCAGAGAAGGUUUAACCUGGAAGGAAAGAAUUCAGCCGAGAAACAGUUAAGGGGACAUUUAUUUAGCAGAGCUACACACUCCAAAGAUUGGAGUGGGCUUCCUCCGAAGCGCUUGAUGGGCGGCAUUAUGGCCCCUAAAGACAUAAUGACAAAUACUCACGCCAAGUCCAUCCUCAACUCAAUGAACUCCCUCAGGAAGAGCAAUACCCUCUGUGACGUGACCUUGAGAGUGGAGCAGAAAGAC
rnacentral:lncRNA from 1 species